rnacentral:rRNA from 1 species
GACGAACGCUGGCGGCGUGCUUAACACAUGCAAGUCGAACGGAAAGGCCCUGCUUUCGUGGUGUGCUCGAGUGGCGAACGGGUGUGUAACACGUGAGUAACCUGCCCUUGAUUUUGGGAUAACUUCAGGAAACUGGGGCUAAUACCGGAUAGGAGCUCCUGCUGCAUGGUGGGGGUUGGAAAGUUUCGGCGGUUGGGGAUGGACUCGCGGCUUAUCAGCUUGUUGGUGGGGUAGUGGCUUACCAAGGCUUUGACGGGUAGCCGGCCUGAGAGGGUGACCGGCCACAUUGGGACUGAGAUACGGCCCAGACUCCUACGGGAGGCAGCAGUGGGGAAUAUUGCACAAUGGGCGGAAGCCGGAUGCAGCAACGCCGCGUGCGGGAUGACGGCCUUCGGGUUGUAAACCGCUUUCGCCUGUGACGAAGCGUGAGUGACGGUAAUUGGUAAAGAAGCACCGGCUAACUACGUG